GUUUUUGCCGACUGCUGAGUUUAAUGUAAGACUACAGUACCCAGCAUGCAAUGGGACUGACUUGUGUAGAAGUCCCAGUGACUUUCAUCAAUUUCAGACAAUUUUUGAGAGAAAAAUCUGCUGGCCGCCAAAAAACCUAGAGGUCUUCUCCUAUUCAUAUUCCAGUCUUUCAUUCAAAUCAAUACAUGGUUGCUAGGGUAAUUUGGACUAGCAUGGAAAUCACAGUGAACUGGAGAUCAUUUCAGGUCCACUUUAACUUGGGAGACCAGCAGUGUUGGACUGGGCCGGCGGGACACCGGGACAAACCUGGCGAGCCCCUGCAUUCUUGAGCCCCCAUCCACUCCCCGGAUCCAGGCCUGCUCCUGUGCAUGCACCAUCCCCUCUCCCUGCUUUCUCGGAUCCAGGCUAGCUCCUGCUCCCACACCAUCUCCUCUCCCCACACGGGCCAUCCACUCUCCCUGAUCAUAGGCGGAAAGGGAGGUAAAAACAUAUGGGGACAUGUGGAGGGGUUAGGAGCUAGGUCCUUGAUAGGUGCACCGGUGGGCCCUGGACAUCCCAGUCCGACGAUGGACACCAGAGAGACCUGAAACACUGCUGGCAACUGAAGUAUCUGCUUGUGAGCCAAUAAAGGCAUUUUAACUGUAUUUUGGAGAAAAAAGCAUAGACGAGAUAGACUGUAGGUUCAGAUAUCCAAAUUAGCUCUAAACCUGGAUUUAUUUAACCCCUUUCUCCUGAAAUAAACUCUGCGAUCUUCA